GACGAACGCUGGCGGCGUGCCUAAUACAUGCAAGUAGAACGCUGAAGAGAGGAGCUUGCUCUUCUUGGAUGAGUUGCGAACGGGUGAGUAACGCGUAGGUAACCUGCCUGGUAGCGGGGGAUAACUAUUGGAAACGAUAGCUAAUACCGCAUAAAAUGGAUUAUCGCAUGAUAAUCCAUUGAAAGGUGCAAAUGCAUCACUACCAGAUGGACCUGCGUUGUAUUAGCUAGUUGGUGGGGUAACGGCUCACCAAGGCGACGAUACAUAGCCGACCUGAGAGGGUGGUCGGCCACACUGGGACUGAGACACGGCCCAGACUCCUACGGGAGGCAGCAGUAGGGAAUCUUCGGCAAUGGACGGAAGUCUGACCGAGCAACGCCGCGUGAGUGAAGAAGGUUCUCGGAUCGUAAAGCUCUGUUGUAAGAGAAGAACGAGUGUGAGAGUGGAAAGUUCACACUGUGACGGUAUCUGACCAGAAAGGGACGGCUAACUACGUG
rnacentral:rRNA from 1 species